AACAAAUAAUUUGGAAUAUUUAUUUUAUUUAAAUUAAUAUUUUUUAUAUAUAUAAAUAAAAAAUUAAAUUUAUAAGGUCAAAUUUAAAAUUUAAUUAAUAAUUUUUUAUAAAUUUUAUGAAUUUUAUAAAAAUAAAAUUAAAACUAGGAUUAGAUACCCUAUUAUAUUAUUUAAAUUUUAAAUAAAAGAAGUAAUUGUUAAAAUCAAUAAAUUUAAUAAAAAUGGCAGUAUUUUAAUCUAUUUAGAGGAAUUUGUUUAAUAAUUGAUAAUCCACGAAUAAUUUUACUUAAUUUAUUAAAUUUGUAUAUCGUUGUUAUAAAAAUUUAUUUUAUAAUAUAAAAUUUUAAAAUUUUAAAAGAUAAUUAUAUCAAAUCAAGAUAUAGUUUAUAAUUAAGAAUGUAAUGAAUUAUAAUAAAAAAAUUUUUGAAAAUUAAUAUGAAAAAUUAGUAGAAUUUAGAUUUAAAUGUAAUUUUUUUUAGUUUAAAAAAAUGAUUUAGUUUUAAAAUA
rnacentral:rRNA from 1 species